AUGAAGGGCCAGCCACACGGAGGACACAAGAAUGGAAGGAAAGGAGGACUCUCGGGCAGCUCCUUUUCACCUGGUUUAUGGUCAUUGCCUUGCUGGGAGUCUGGACUUCAGUAGCUGUCGUUUGGUUUGAGCUUGUUGAUUAUGAGGAAGUUCUAGGAAAAUUGGGAGUCUACGAUGCUGAUGGUGAUGGAGACUUUGAUGUGGAUGAUGCCAAAGUUUUACUAGGCCUUAAAGAAAGAACUGCUUCAGAUCCAAAGUUCCCAGCAGAGGACGCUGAGCCACACAUCGAGCCCGAGGACCAGGCUCCCGCGGGGACAGAACCCCAGAAUAUUGAAGAUGAAGUAAAGGAACAAAUUCAGUCCAUCCUUCAUGAAAUGAUACACACAGAACAUGGAGAAAACUUACAACAGGAAGAAGAGGCGCCGGCAGGAGAACUACGGCUGGAGGAGGAAGAUUUCCUUACUGCAUCUCAUGCCGAUGAUAGACUUGAGACUCUGGAACCUGAAACAUUUCAUGAAGACUCUGAGGAUCAUUAUGUGGAAGACACAGUUUUACAAGACCAUCAGGAUAUGGAAGAGAUAAUAUAUGACCAACUAAACCCAGAUUCCAGUGAACCACUAGCAGAUGAUGAACGAUUGUACCAGGAAGCAGGUGAUGUAACAUACCAAGACUAUGGUGAACAAGCAUAUGAACCUUCAGAAAAUAAACCAAUAGAAAUUUCAGAUAAUGCUAUAGAAGAUUCAAAUGUAAUUUUAGAAGAAGUAAGUGUUCCUCCUGUGGAAGAACCCCAGGAAGUAUCACCAGAUACAUAAAGCUUCAGAAAGACUACCCCUUCUACUGCAGGAGGACCAGCCUAACCAUACGCUCCAAACAAUGGCUGUGAAAGAUCUUGUGACGUAAUUACUGAGCAGAUCAAGAUCUUUGGGGAUGAACACUAAAGAUGUUUUGAAUGAAUUGUAGUCCACUGGCAUUUAGUGUAUUUUUUU